rnacentral:rRNA from 1 species
UACGUAGGGUGCGAGCGUUUAUCGGAAUUACUGGGCGUAAAGCGUGCGCAGGCGGUUUUGUAAGCCAGAUGUGAAAUCCCCGGGCUUAACCUGGGAAUGGCAUUUGGGACUGCAAGGCUGGAGUGUGGCAGAGGAGACUGGAAUUCCUGGUGUAGCAGUGAAAUGCGUAGAUAUCAGGAGGAAUACCGAUGGCGAAGGCAGGUCUCUGGGCUGACACUGACGCUCAUGCACGAAAGCGUGGGGAGCAAACAGG